AACGAACGCUGGCGGCAGGCUUAACACAUGCAAGUCGAGCGCCCCGCAAGGGGAGCGGCAGACGGGUGAGUAACGCGUGGGAAUCUACCCAUCUCUACGGAAUAACGCAUGGAAACGUGUGCUAAUACCGUAUACGUCCUUCGGGAGAAAGAUUUAUCGGAGAUGGAUGAGCCCGCGUUGGAUUAGCUAGUUGGUGGGGUAAAGGCCUACCAAGGCGACGAUCCAUAGCUGGACUGAGAGGAUGAUCAGCCACACUGGGACUGAGACACGGCCCAGACUCCUACGGGAGGCAGCAGUGGGGAAUAUUGGACAGUGGGCGCAAGCCUGAUCCAGCCAUGCCGCGUGAGUGAUGAAGGCCCUAGGGUUGUAAAGCUCUUUCACCGGUGAAGAUAAUGACGGUAACCGGAGAAGAAGCCCCGGCUAACUUCGUGCCAGCCGCCGCGGUAAAAC
rnacentral:rRNA from 1 species